UUUGCUUAUGGUUUCCUUUGUCGUGCAAAAGCUUGUAAGUUUAAUUAGGCCCCAUUUGUCUAUUUAUGCUUUUAUUUCUAUUGCUUGGGUAGAAUGCCCCAGGAGAACGUUGCUGAGAUGUAUAUGAGAUAAUGUUUUGCCUAUAUCAGAUUUUGAU